UUAAAUACCCCGCGCGAUGCCGCGGGUCAAUUAUUUUUUGCAUUUUAAAAAUAGCCAAGAUCUAAAAGUAUUAGGUUUUUUUGUAAAGUUAUACUCAAGAGUCUCAAAUUUGGUUGCAUCGCUUGAUCCAAGACUAAUGUUUAUAAUAUUAAUAAUAACAUUAAAUUUGGGUUAACCCUUAGCAUAAAAGUGUAUGGACUAUAAUACCAAACCCAAUAGCAUUGGACGUGGGUCUGGUUGCAAGGUCGUGUCAUAAAAGUGUGAUAAUUAAAUAGAUUAGUUAAAAAGAAAAAAAACCAACAGGAAGAAAAAAAACUAAUGAAAAAAAAGAAAAAAAAUAUGAAUUAAUUGGGUUAACCCUUCAAAUCAGGUUAAUCCGUUAUAUCUUGAAUUCGCAUAAUAAAAGUUUGAUAAUUUAAAAGAACAAAACAAAUUAAUGGGUUGACCCAGAAUUAACUGGGUUAACUCGUCAAACCAAGUUAACCUGUCAAACCCGAAAUCCGUGUAAUGAAAGUUCUAUAACUAAAUAGAAAAAAAUUUAACAUUAACAAUUGAAAUUAAACGAAAAAAAUUAAUUAAAAAAAAGCAUCAUUCUUUUCACCGUGGACUGCACUAUGCAGUCCACAGUCAAAGACAUAAAAACAACAACAACAACAACAAAAACUAAAGGCAUCAGCCGAAAACUACUUAGAAAAAAAAUUAAUAUUAAUAAACUAAAUUAAUUAAAUAAAAUUAAUUAAAAAGAAAAAAACCUCUAAGAAGAAGAAAAAAACUAAAUAGAAAGAAAUUUAACAUUAACAAACUAAAUUAAACGAAAAAAUAAUUAAAAAAAAAGCAAAAAAAAAAAAUUCAGGUUAACUCGUCAAACCAAGUUAACACAUUAAACCCGGGAUCCGUGUCAUGAAUGUCUGGUAACCAAAUAAAAAAAAAGUGAAUAUUAACAAACUGAACUAAAUAAAAAAAAUUAAUUAAAAAGAAAAAAAAUCUGAUUUAACUCGUCAAACCAUGUUAACCCAGGAUCCGUGCCAUGAAAGUCUGAUAACUAAAUAAAACAAUAUUUAACAUUAACAAACUAAAUUAAACAAAACAUUUAUGAAAAUAAUAAAAUAAAAAAAUUGACGGGUCAACCCGAAAUUAACUGGGUUCACUCGUGAAACCAGGUUAACCCGUGAAACUCAAGAUAUGUGUCAUGAAAGUCUAACAACUAAAUAGAAAGAAAUUUAACAUUAACAAACUAAACUAAACAAAAAAAAUUAAUUAAAAAGAAUAAAAAGCAAAAUAAAUAAAUUAUAUUUUAACUUGUCAAACCAGGUUAACCCGUUAAAUCCGGUAAACGUGUCAUGAAAGUCUGACAACUAAAUAAAAAAAUUUAACAUCAAUAAACUAAAUUAAACAAAAACAUUUAGAAGGAAGAAGCAAAAAAAUAAUCCCAAAAAGCAUAAAAAAAGAAAGACAACUUUAAAACAAAAAAAAAAAACAAUGCCAAAGAAAUCAGUGUUUUACUGUGGACUGCACACAAAACAAAUUGAGUUAACCCCUUAAACCUGGAAUGCGUGUUAUAAAAGUUUGAGAUAGAAAAAAAAUUUAACAUUAACAAAAAAAAAUUUUAAAAAAAUAUCCAUUAAAAAAAACAAAUAAAAAAUGAAGAAAAAGAAAAGCAAAAAGUUAAAAAAAAACAUCUGAAUUAAUUGGGUUAACCCUCAAACCAAGUUAACCCGUCGAACCUGGAAUUAGCGUCAUGAAAAUUUAAUAACUGCAUAGAAAAAAAAUUUAACAGGUUAACCCAUAAUUAAUUUGGUUAACCUAUGAAACCAAGUUAACACAUAAUUAAUUAAACAAAAAAAUUAACUAAAAAGAAAAAUCAUAAAAAAAAAUAUGGGUUAACCCGUUAAACCCAGAAUGCGUGUUAUAAAAGUUUGAGAUACAAAAAAAUUUAACAUCAACGAAAAAUGUUUUUUAAAAAAUAUCCAUUAAAAAAAAACAAAGAAAAAAAAACUUAAAAAAAAAAAAGCAAAAAGUAAACGAAAAAAAAAAUGUCAGCUCUGUUAAAAAAAAAUUUAAAAAAAAUGAUAAACAAUUCCCAAGGCACAGGGAUCACUGUUUUACUGUGGACUGCACUGUGCAGUCCAUAGUAAAACACUGAUCCCUUUUAGUAUAUGCUAGUUACAUGACCCGCGCGAUGCUGCGGGUCAAUGAUUUUUGCAUAAAAAUAUCAAAAAAAAUUAAGAUCUAAAAGUAUGAGGUCUUUUUGCAAAUCUAUACCCAAGAGUCUUGGGUGUGGCUGCAACGCCUGACCCAAGAGUAAUAUUUAUAAUAUUAAUAAUAAUAUUAAACUUGCAUGACCCAAGUUUAAGUUGAUAUGACUGCAAUACCAGACCCAACAAUCUUGGAUGUGGUCUGGUUGCAAGGUCGUGUCAUAAAAGUG
rnacentral:lncRNA from 1 species